rnacentral:lncRNA from 1 species
GACCUGAGUUUUCUAAGCCAGACUGAUAAAUCAUGCUGAUGGAGGAGUCCAUGGCACAAAUCCUAAAGAGGGCAGCAGAAUCCAACCUACACCUCCUGCCUGUUGCCAGCUGAAGCAGGCCGGUGCUGCUAAUUGAACGUGCUUUAUGUACGAGUGCUGUUCAGUACAUGCAUCCAGGACAUGCGGCGUAUCAUUCGGUGAUAUACAAACCGACUGGGACAAUUUACAAUGGUGAUUUUUCUACUGACGGGUCUAUGAGAUUGUGA